AGCGAACAGACGAGGAGCUUGCUCCUCUGACGUUAGCGGCGGACGGGUGAGUAACACGUGGAUAACCUACCUAUAAGACUGGGAUAACUUCGGGAAACCGGAGCUAAUACCGGAUAAUAUAUUGAACCGUAUGGUUCAAUAGUGAAAGACGGUUUUGCUGUCACUUAUAGAUGGAUCCGCGCCGCAUUAGCUAGUUGGUAAGGUAACGGCUUACCAAGGCAACGAUGCGUAGCCGACCUGAGAGGGUGAUCGGCCACACUGGAACUGAGACACGGUCCAGACUCCUACGGGAGGCAGCAGUAGGGAAUCUUCCGCAAUGGGCGAAAGCCUGACGGAGCAACGCCGCGUGAGUGAUGAAGGUCUUCGGAUCGUAAAACUCUGUUAUUAGGGAAGAACAAAUGUGUAAGUAACUAUGCACGUCUUGACGGUACCUAAUCAGAAAGCCACGGCUAACUACGUGCCAGCAGCCGCGGUAAUACGUAGGUGGCAAGCGUUAUCCGGAAUUAUUGGGCGUAAAGCGCGCGUAGGCGGUUUUUUAAGUCUGAUGUGAAAGCCCACGGCUCAACCGUGGAGGGUCAUUGGAAACUGGAAAACUUGAGUGCAGAAGAGGAAAGUGGAAUUCCAUGUGUAGCGGUGAAAUGCGCAGAGAUAUGGAGGAACACCAGUGGCGAAGGCGACUUU
rnacentral:rRNA from 1 species